rnacentral:rRNA from 1 species
UACGGGGGGGGCAAGCGUUGUUCGGAAUUACUGGGCGUAAAGGGCUUGUAGGUGGCCAACUAAGUCAGACGUGAAAUCCCUCGGCUUAACCUGGGAACUGCAUCCGAUACUGGAUGGCUUGAAUCCGGGAGAGGGAUGCAGAAUUCCAGGUGUAGCGGUGAAAUGCGUAGAUAUCUGGAGGAAUACCGGUGGCGAAGGCGGCAUCCUGGACCGGCAUUGACGCUGAGUGAGCGAAAGCCAGGGGAGCAAACGGG